AGAGUUUGAUCCUGGCUCAGGAUGAACGCUGGCGGCGUGCUUAACACAUGCAAGUCGAGCGGAGCACAUCAUUGGAAUCCUUCGGGAGGAAGAGGAUGUGGCUUAGCGGCGGACGGGUGAGUAACGCGUGGACAACCUGCCCUAUGCAGGGGGAUAACAUCCGGAAACGGGUGCUAAUACCGCAUAAGCGCACAGUACCGCAUGGUACGGUGUGAAAAGCUGAGGCGGCAUAGGAUGGGUCCGCGUUGGAUUAGGCAGUUGGCGGGGUAACGGCCCACCAAACCGACGAUCCAUAGCCGGCCUGAGAGGGUGGACGGCCACAUUGGGACUGAGACACGGCCCAGACUCCUACGGGAGGCAGCAGUGGGGAAUAUUGCACAAUGGGGGAACCCUGAUGCAGCGACGCCGCGUGGGUGAGGAAGUACUUCGGUAUGUAAAGCCCUAUCAGCAGGGAAGAAAAUGACGGUACCUGACUAAGAAGCCCCGGCUAACUACGUG
rnacentral:rRNA from 1 species